GAUGAACGCUGGCGGCGUGCUUAACACAUGCAAGUCGAGCGGAGAUAAAUUGAAAGCUUGCUUUUAAUUUAUCUUAGCGGCGGACGGGUGAGUAACGUGUGGGCAACCUGCCUCAUACAGAGGGAUAAUCAUGUGAAAACGUGACUAAUACCGCAUGUCGUUUCGGGAGGGCAUCCUCCUGAAAGAAAAGGAGCAAUCCGGUAUGAGAUGGGCCCGCAUCUGAUUAGCUAGUUGGUGAGAUAACAGCCCACCAAGGCGACGAUCAGUAGCCGACCUGAGAGGGUGAUCGGCCACAUUGGGACUGAGACACGGCCCAAACUCCUACGGGAGGCAGCAGUGGGGAAUAUUGCACAAUGGGGGAAACCCUGAUGCAGCAACGCCGCGUGAAGGAAGACGGUUUUCGGAUUAUAAACUUCUAUCAAUAGGGACGAAGAAAGUGACUGUACCUAAAUAAGAAGCCCCGGCUAACUACGUGCCAGCAGCCGCAGUAA
rnacentral:rRNA from 1 species